GACGAACGCUGGCGGCGUGCUUAACACAUGCAAGUCGAACGGUGAAGCGCCUUCCUUUUUGGUGGGUGUGGAUGAGUGACGAACGGGUGAGUAACACGUGAGUAACCUGCCCCCUUCUUCUGGAUAACCGCAUGAAAGUGUGGCUAAUACGGGAUAUUCUGGGUCUGUCGCAUGAUGGGUCUGGGAAAGAUAUUGUUUCGGUGGGGGAUGGGCUCGCGGCCUAUCAGCUUGUUGGUGGGGUGAUGGCCUACCAAGGCGGUGACGGGUAGCCGGCCUGAGAGGGUGGACGGUCACACUGGGACUGAGACACGGCCCAGACUCCUACGGGAGGCAGCAGUGGGGAAUAUUGCACAAUGGGCGCAAGCCUGAUGCAGCGACGCCGCGUGAGGGAUGGAGGCCUUCGGGUUGUGAACCUCUUUCGCCAGUGAAGCAGGCCUGCCUCGUUUGUGGGUGGGUUGACGGUAGCUGGAGAAGAAGCGCCGGCUAACUACGUG
rnacentral:rRNA from 1 species